GGGCCCGCACAAGCGGUGGAGCAUGUGGCUUAAUUCGAGGCAACGCGAAGAACCUUACCUGGUCUUGACAUGCCCGUCAUAGUUUUCCGAAAGGAAUUCGUCAGUUCGGCUGGACGGUGCACAGGUGCUGCAUGGCUGUCGUCAGCUCGUGUCGUGAGAUGUUCGGUUAAGUCCGGCAACGAGCGCAACCCUCGUUCCUAGUUGCCAGCGGGUAAUGCCGGGGACUCUAGGAAGACAAACCUCGUGUAGAGGUGGGAAGGUGGGGACGACGUCAAGUCAGUAUGGCCCUUACGACCAGGGCUGCACACGUGCUACAAUGCUUGGUACAAUGGGAUGCAACACCGCGAGGUUGAGCUAAUCCACAAAACCAAGCCCAGUUCGGAUUGGAGUCUGCAACUCGACUCCAUGAAGUUGGAAUCGCUAGUAA
rnacentral:rRNA from 1 species